GGGCCGGUAGCUCAGCAAGGUAGAGCGGCGGUCUCUUAGAGAGGUCGAGGCUCCAGACCCGAAGGUCGGGGGUUCAAAUCCCUCCCGGCCCA
rnacentral:tRNA from 1 species